rnacentral:tRNA from 1 species
UGGGGCUGUAGCUCAGUGGUAAAGCACUCACCUCGAAUAUGUGAGGCACUGGGUUUGAUCCUCAGCACCACAA